UUGGAGGAAGCUGGUGAGUGGGCGGCAGCACUUAAGUCAAGCUCCAGGAGAGCGCUGCAGAGGCAGCCAUUACCAGAUCAGCCUCUGCUGCUCUCAAAUGAUCUCUUCAGUCAUCCUCCAGGCAUCUGGUUGCGGGUGAAGACCGAGCUAGAAGCCCUCAGAGCAAUGAGCUGGUGACAGGACAACAGCCACAGUGAGAAAGAUGGCCUGUUUGAAAGUCCUGAAAGUCAGGAUGCCCUGCGCACAGGUUGCUGAUGGUCUUGGCCUACAGCAGAGUGGGUAUCUGAAGUGACUUGAAGAAAGACAGGAGGCAGCACUUGAGAGCCACUUGCCUUUGGGCCAGCCUGAGGUCUCACAUUAUCACCGUGAUCACAGAAGAUGCACAGCAUGGGAGCAGGAUCAGCAUCGAUUUGGCAGGAGAUGAAAUAGUGAGAGGCCGACCUGAAAUACUCACGGAUUGGCAGAGUCAACAGGAGGAAAAUGGCUGUAUUAUCUAAAGCAAUCGACAGAUUCAACACAAUUCCUAUGGAAAUUAUAGUGACAUUCCUCACAGAAUUAGGGAAACAGUUCUAAAAUGUAUAUGGAAGCACAAAGGACACUGCAUAGAGCAAUCCUGAACAAAAGGAACAGUGUUGGAAUCAUCCCAAUGCUGGGUCCAUGCUGGAGGACAGAGCACAGUAACAGAAGCAGCAUGGUCCUAACACAAGAACAGACGCACUAAUCAGUGGCAUAGAAUAGAGGACUCAAAAUCGAACUCACACAGCAACAAACGCUUGAUACUUAAUAAAGGUUCCGAAAACCAUACAGUGGAGAAAAGACAGCCGUCUUAAACAAAUGGUGUUGGGGAAACUAAUUGGAACAAUGAAGCUGGAUUUCCAUAUUUGGACCUGAACUGAAAAAAAUGAAAAAAGAAAAUUGAAAUGGAUCAAAGGUCUUAUUGUAAGAAUGGAAACUGGAGACUGUCGGAGAUACUUACAUCUACAUAGGCAAGAGCGGGGACUUUCUGCAAAGGACUCCAAUAGCUCAAGAAGGAAUCACAAGUGGAGUUACAUGAAACUAAAAAGAAGGAAGUGAGGGAAGAGACAUUCUACAGAAUGAAAGUACAUCCUUGCUAGCUGCAUGAUCACCAGAGGAUUAACAUUUAUAGUACAUAAAGAACACAAAAGCUAAAUAUCAAAAAAGACCAAAGAAUUCACUUAAUAAGUAGACUAAUGAUUGAGUGGUUCUCCAAGCCAGAUGAAGCACAUAUGGUCAGUAAACAAAUGGGAAACCAAAAGCUCAAUAUCCUUGGGCAUCAGCAAAACACAAAAGUAAACUACACUGAGAUCCCAUGUAGUGACUGUCCUGGUUUGCUCUCCAUUGCUGUGAUAAAACACUGACCCAAACCAAAUUGGGAUGGAAAGUGACUCACAGACAUGUCCACAGGAUUGAGGCAAUUCCUCAACUAAGGUUUCCUCUUCCCAAGAGUAUGAAGGUGGCAAUCAAGAUUAGUCACCUCUGGUGGAAGGGUGGAAUGGACCCCCCCAUAGUACACUGGCAAAGUCAUUCCUAUACUCCUUUGUUGGAGACACCCCACAUUAGGCUCGAGAUGCUUAGGACCCUUGAUGACAAGGAGGAAAACCCUGUCCGGGAAUACUAUGUUUCAGAACUCGAGGCAAUGGCCUCUUGUGGGCCCCAGUAUGAGUACUGAGAGGUCCCAAGGCCUGCUUCUUUGGCACAAGCAAUGGUCACUCGCUUGAGGUGGAAAUGAAAGUAACCUAGAGCCACAGCCAUAGAUGAGAAAUUCUGUAGCUGUUCCCCCAGUCUUAGUCUCAAUUCUGACUAUAGAAUUGAGGAUGGAAUAAUAUGUAGAUAUUUCCCAGAAAAUUAGCAAUGGGUUCCUUGGGUUUAGGGAUUCCUUGGCUGCCCCCUAGGAAUUCUUUAUACAGGUUAGGUGAGGAUGGUUUUGUAGACAGGCAGAUAGGGUCCAAAAAUUAUAAAGACUGCAGGGUCAGCAGUAUGACCUCCUGUUUGCCCUUUUAUGAAACCGUAUUGUCUCACACAUGUCUGAAAGACUUUGUAACCACAAUACUGCUGCUCCAACCUCGCUAGAGACUGGUGGUCAGAAGAUACAAAAAAUUGUGCUUGCUAUAAAAGUUUUGUGUCUGAGA